rnacentral:rRNA from 1 species
UUCCGUAGGUGAACCUGCGGAAGGAUCAUUGUCGUGACCCUGACCAAAACAGACCGUGAACGUGUCCUCCAUGCCGCCGGGAUACAGGUCUUUCACCUGUCUCUCGGUACAGGGCGCCAACCUUCUUUGGAGGGGAGGGGCCCUAAAAGAACCCACGGCGCCGUAUGGCGUCAAGGAACACUGAUAUUGCCUAGCACGGGGCCACGGUCGGCUUGCCGGGCGCACCCCGUGCCGCGAUGAUACAUUAAUCCACAUGACUCUCGGCAACGGAUAUCUCGGCUCUCGCAUCGAUGAAGAACGUAGCAAAAUGCGAUACCUGGUGUGAAUUGCAGAAUCCCGUGAACCAUCGAGUUUUUGAACGCAAGUUGCGCCCGAGGCCUCGUGGUCGAGGGCACGUCUGCCUGGGCGUCACGCCAAAAGACACUCCACACCCGUCAAGGUGCGGAUGUGGUAUCUGGCCCCUCACGCAACUGUGCGGUGGGCCUAAGUUGGGGCUGCCGGCGGUGCCGACCACAGCGCAAGGUGGAUGACGCGAGUUGUUCUCAGCGCUAUGAUUCGGACCGCUUUCGGUGAUGCCAUGGCCCUCUGUACCCAUCGACCGAAGCGCACGUCGCUCGGACCGCGACCCCAGGUCAGUCGGGAUUACCCGCU